rnacentral:tRNA from 1 species
GGGGUUGUGGCUUAGUGGUAGAGUGCCCACCUCGCAGUAUGAGGCACUGGGUUCGAUUCUCAGCACCACA